AGAAUCAACGCUGGCGGCGUGCCUAACACAUGCAAGUCGAACGAGAAAGGGGAGCAAUCCCUGAGUACAGUGGCGACCGGGUGAGUAACACGUGACUAACCUACCCUCGAGUGUGGAAUAACAUCGGGAAACCGAUGCUAAUACCGCAUAAUAUCGCAAGAUCAAAGGAGUAAUCCGCUUGAGGAGGGGGUCGCGGGCUGAUUAGCUAGUUGGCGGGGUAAUGGGCCCACCAAGGCGAAGAUCGGUA
rnacentral:rRNA from 1 species